AAAACAUAAAUUUGUCACGUUGACCAGAUUUGAAGUCAUUUUCUUCAGUUCAGUUAGUCAAUACAUAAUUUGACUAUCUGUUUCCUCAACAUUAUCAGUCUCUGGUCAACUUUGACUUGUGACUGGUCAUCUUGUUUAUAUUUAUUGGCGGGAAGAAACAAUAGCGUCGGUCGCCAUUUUCCUCCCAGGAAAACUCGAAGUCAUGUAUGGCAUGGACUCUCAACUACCACUGAAUGGACAAACAAAUCAAAAUACAAUGCAUUGUUACGAAUAUAGACAAGAUGAAAACCACAUUAGGUACACGAAGAUGUUACCAUGAAUAGAAGAAAUAAGUUAAUCCAUUUCUGACGAAGACAACCAAACGAGAAGAAAAUAGAACUGAUGAUGAUUUCAUUCCCAUGUUCCAUGUUUG